rnacentral:rRNA from 1 species
CUACGGGGGGCUCCAGUGAGGAAUUUUGCGCAAUGGGGGAAACCCUGACGCAGCAACGCCGCGUGAGUGAUGAAGGCCUUCGGGUCGUAAAGCUCUGUCAAGUGGGAAGAACCCACCCUGUGCUAAUAUCACAGGGUGCUGACGGUACCACUGAAGGAAGCACCGGCUAACUCCGUGCCAGCAGCCGCGGUAAUACGGAGGGUGCAAGCGUUAUUCGGAAUUACUGGGCGUAAAGGGCGCGUAGGCGGCCUUUUAAGUCAGAUGUGAAAUCCCGGGGCUCAACCCCGGAAGUGCAUCUGAAACUAAGAGGCUUGAGUAUGGGAGAGGGAAGUGGAAUUCCUGGUGUAGAGGUGAAAUUCGUAGAUAUCAGGAGGAACACCGGUGGCGAAGGCGACUUCCUGGACCAAUACUGACGCUGAGGCGCGAAGGCGUGGGGAGCAAACAGGAUUAGAUACCCGAGUAGUC